CAGUGUAUCUCAACAUGUUCCUAGUAAAGUGUCAGCAGCUGACACCAGGCAGAACAAUUCACCCUGGCAGGUGCUGAAUGCGCACAAAAAAAAAAGAAAAAUUUCAAAUGUGGCUCAAGUGCAAAGUAGCAGCAACCUCCCCAAGCAGGAAAAACUGAGAGAUGACCGAAUUCUUUUGUCCAAAGCAUUUCGGUGUCAUAAUCGUAGGAGAUGAUGUCAUGUCAGCAGCUUUUUGUAAACAAAGGCUUCUGAUUGGUCCUUUCUGUGACUGGCGCGCUGCAUGUGAGUUCAUCUGUUUGUGGCAUCUGACGAGAUGGAGCGCAGACUUGAGGUGUGGAUUGUAAAGUUUGCCAAAACUGUGCCUGUCACUUGUUAACAAAAGAUACGCAAGAACAAGCUACUUCAGUUCCUGCAACUGUUGCCACUUGAGUGCAAAUCUGGAAUUCAACUGAGCUCUUGAGCAAACCGCAGCGGCAGUAGCAGGACAAGAGCUGAAAAGAGAAUCACACACGCGCGCACGCCUGUGAUGGAUGAGCGUCUGCGUGGGCGUGGCUGCAACACAACUAAUAACAACAAGCGCGGCGACGGGCGGACAAGACGAGAUGCAAUCGAGUCAUGUGACCAAAACCUCUUUGAGAGUCUUUUGAGGCACCGACCACAACAACAAAGUCAUUCACCUCAGGGAGUAGACAAGGAAAAACCACAAGAAUACACGUAUACACACACACACACAC